UUAAGCGACUAAGCGUACACGGUGGAUGCCCUGGCAGUCAGAGGCGAUGAAGGACGUGCUAAUCUGCGAUAAGCGUCGGUAAGGUGAUAUGAACCGUUAUAACCGGCGAUUUCCGAAUGGGGAAACCCAGUGUGAUUCGUCACACUAUCAUUAACUGAAUCCAUAGGUUAAUGAGGCGAACCGGGGGAACUGAAACAUCUAAGUACCCCGAGGAAAAGAAAUCAAUCGAGAUUCCCCCAGUAGCGGCGAGCGAACGGGGAGCAGCCCAGAGCCUGAAUCAGUGUGUGUGUUAGUGGAAGCGUCUGGAAAGGCGCGCGAUACAGGGUGACAGCCCCGUACACAAAAAUGCACAUGCUGUGAGCUCGAUGAGUAGGGCGGGACACGUGGUAUCCUGUCUGAAUAUGGGGGGACCAUCCUCCAAGGCUAAAUACUCCUGACUGACCGAUAGUGAACCAGUACCGUGAGGGAAAGGCGAAAAGAACCCCGGCGAGGGGAGUGAAAAAGAACCUGAAACCGUGUACGUACAAGCAGUGGGAGCACAGAGCAAUCUGUGUGACUGCGUACCUUUUGUAUAAUGGGUCAGCGACUUAUAUUCUGUAGCAAGGUUAACCGAAUAGGGGAGCCGAAGGGAAACCGAGUCUUAACUGGGCGUUAAGUUGCAGGGUAUAGACCCGAAACCCGGUGAUCUAGCCAUGGGCAGGUUGAAGGUUGGGUAACACUAACUGGAGGACCGAACCGACUAAUGUUGAAAAAUUAGCGGAUGACUUGUGGCUGGGGGUGAAAGGCCAAUCAAACCGGGAGAUAGCUGGUUCUCCCCGAAAGCUAUUUAGGUAGCGCCUCGUGAAUUCAUCUCCGGGGGUAGAGCACUGUUUCGGCAAGGGGGUCAUCCCGACUUACCAACCCGAUGCAAACUACGAAUACCGGAGAAUGUUAUCACGGGAGACACACGGCGGGUGCUAACGUCCGUCGUGAAGAGGGAAACAACCCAGACCGCCAGCUAAGGUCCCAAAGUCAUGGUUAAGUGGGAAACGAUGUGGGAAGGCCCAGACAGCCAGGAUGUUGGCUUAGAAGCAGCCAUCAUUUAAAGAAAGCGUAAUAGCUCACUGGUCGAGUCGGCCUGCGCGGAAGAUGUAACGGGGCUAAACCAUGCACCGAAGCUGCGGCAGCGACGCUUAUGCGUUGUUGGGUAGGGGAGCGUUCUGUAAGCCUGCGAAGGUGUGCUGUGAGGCAUGCUGGAGGUAUCAGAAGUGCGAAUGCUGACAUAAGUAACGAUAAAGCGGGUGAAAAGCCCGCUCGCCGGAAGACCAAGGGUUCCUGUCCAACGUUAAUCGGGGCAGGGUGAGUCGACCCCUAAGGCGAGGCCGAAAGGCGUAGUCGAUGGGAAACAGGUUAAUAUUCCUGUACUUGGUGUUACUGCGAAGGGGGGACGGAGAAGGCUAUGUUGGCCGGGCGACGGUUGUCCCGGUUUAAGCGUGUAGGCUGGUUUUCCAGGCAAAUCCGGAAAAUCAAGGCUGAGGCGUGAUGACGAGGCACUACGGUGCUGAAGCAACAAAUGCCCUGCUUCCAGGAAAAGCCUCUAAGCAUCAGGUAACAUCAAAUCGUACCCCAAACCGACACAGGUGGUCAGGUAGAGAAUACCAAGGCGCUUGAGAGAACUCGGGUGAAGGAACUAGGCAAAAUGGUGCCGUAACUUCGGGAGAAGGCACGCUGAUAUGUAGGUGAAGUCCCUCGCGGAUGGAGCUGAAAUCAGUCGAAGAUACCAGCUGGCUGCAACUGUUUAUUAAAAACACAGCACUGUGCAAACACGAAAGUGGACGUAUACGGUGUGACGCCUGCCCGGUGCCGGAAGGUUAAUUGAUGGGGUCAGCGCAAGCGAAGCUCUUGAUCGAAGCCCCGGUAAACGGCGGCCGUAACUAUAACGGUCCUAAGGUAGCGAAAUUCCUUGUCGGGUAAGUUCCGACCUGCACGAAUGGCGUAAUGAUGGCCAGGCUGUCUCCACCCGAGACUCAGUGAAAUUGAACUCGCUGUGAAGAUGCAGUGUACCCGCGGCAAGACGGAAAGACCCCGUGAACCUUUACUAUAGCUUGACACUGAACAUUGAGCCUUGAUGUGUAGGAUAGGUGGGAGGCUUUGAAGUGUGGACGCCAGUCUGCAUGGAGCCGACCUUGAAAUACCACCCUUUAAUGUUUGAUGUUCUAACGUGGACCCGUAAUCCGGGUUGCGGACAGUGUCUGGUGGGUAGUUUGACUGGGGCGGUCUCCUCCUAAAGAGUAACGGAGGAGCACGAAGGUUGGCUAAUCCUGGUCGGACAUCAGGAGGUUAGUGCAAUGGCAUAAGCCAGCUUGACUGCGAGCGUGACGGCGCGAGCAGGUGCGAAAGCAGGUCAUAGUGAUCCGGUGGUUCUGAAUGGAAGGGCCAUCGCUCAACGGAUAAAAGGUACUCCGGGGAUAACAGGCUGAUACCGCCCAAGAGUUCAUAUCGACGGCGGUGUUUGGCACCUCGAUGUCGGCUCAUCACAUCCUGGGGCUGAAGUAGGUCCCAAGGGUAUGGCUGUUCGCCAUUUAAAGUGGUACGCGAGCUGGGUUUAGAACGUCGUGAGACAGUUCGGUCCCUAUCUGCCGUGGGCGCUGGAGAAUUGAGGGGGGCUGCUCCUAGUACGAGAGGACCGGAGUGGACGCAUCACUGGUGUUCGGGUUGUCAUGCCAAUGGCACUGCCCGGUAGCUAAAUGCGGAAGAGAUAAGUGCUGAAAGCAUCUAAGCACGAAACUUGCCCCGAGAUGAGUUCUCCCUGACUCCUUGAGAGUCCUGAAGGAACGUUGAAGACGACGACGUUGAUAGGCCGGGUGUGUAAGCGCAGCGAUGCGUUGAGCUAACCGGUACUAAUGAACCGUGAGGCUUAACCUU
rnacentral:rRNA from 1 species